UACGGGGGGGGCAAGCGUUGUUCGGAAUUACUGGGCGUAAAGGGCUCGUAGGUGGCCAACUAAGUCAUACGUGAAAUCCCUCGGCUUAACCGGGGAACUGCGUCUGAUACUGGAUGGCUAGAGAUUGGGAGAGGGAUGCGGAAUUCCAGGUGUAGCGGUGAAAUGCGUAGAUAUCUGGAGGAACACCGGUGGCGAAGGCGGCAUCCUGGACCAACACUGACGCUGAGGAGCGAAAGCGUGGGGAGCGAACAGG
rnacentral:rRNA from 1 species